GUGAGGAAUAUUGGUCAAUGGGCGGGAGCCUGAACCAGCCAAGUCGCGUGAAGGAAGAAGGAUCUAUGGUUCGUAAACUUCUUUUGCAGGGGAAUAAAGUGCAGGACGUGUCCUGUUUUGUAUGUACCCUGAGAAUAAGGAUCGGCUAACUCCGUGCCAGCAGCCGCGGUAAUACGGAGGAUCCGAGCGUUAUACGGAUUUAUUGGGUUUAAAGGGUGCGUAGGUGGUUUGAUAAGUCAGCGGUGAAAGUUUGCAGCUUAACUGUAAAAAUGCCGUUGAAACUGUCAGACUUGAGUGUAAAUGAGGUAGGCGGAAUGCGUGGUGUAGCGGUGAAAUGCAUAGAUAUCACGCAGAACUCCGAUUGCGAAGGCAGCUUACUAAGCUACAACUGACACUGAAGCACGAAAGCGUGGGGAUCAAACAGGAUUAGAUACCCCUGUAGUCC
rnacentral:rRNA from 1 species